AACGUAGGAGACAAACGUUAUCCGGAGUUACUGGGCGUAAAGGGCGUGUAGGUGGUUUCGUAAGUCUGGCGUGAAAUUUUUCGGUUUAACCGGGAAAGGUCGUCGGAUACUGCGGAGCUAGAGGACGGUAGAGGCGUGUGGAAUUCCGGGUGUAGUGGUGAAAUGCGUAGAGAUCCGGAGGAACACCAGUGGCGAAGGCGACACGCUGGGCCGUACCUGACACUGAUGCGCGACAGCAUGGGGAGCAAACAGG
rnacentral:rRNA from 1 species